UACGAAGGGUGCAAACGUUGCUCGGAAUCAUUGGGCGUAAAGCGCAUGUAGGCGGCUUAUCAAGUUGGAUGUGAAAUCCCUCGGCUUAACCAAGGAAGUGCAUCCAAAACUGAUGAGCUUGAGUACCAAAGAGGAUUGUAGAAUUCCCGGUGUAGAGGUGAAAUUCGUAGAUAUCGGGAGGAAUACCGGUGGCGAAGGCGGCAAUCUGGGUGGAUACUGACGCUGAGAUGCGAAAGCGUGGGGAGCAAACAGG
rnacentral:rRNA from 1 species